CGGACUGCAACUCACAUAGGCUAUGCAUUUGUGGAGUUUGAGUCUGAGGGUGUUUGCAGCAUAGUUGCUGAAACAAUGAACAACCGCCUUUGUGGUGAGAGACUCUUGGAGUGUAAGUGCUCCUGUCUUACUGCGGGGUUGCCUGGGUGCCUGCUGCUGGUGGGUGACUGUGGUGGGAAGGGCGGCUUGCCUAGCUGCUUGGACAUGCCACUUCAUCUCUG
rnacentral:lncRNA from 1 species